GAGAGGAGCCCCAGCCCAGGGAGUUCCAGGUGUUCAAUUCUGUGAUCAGGACAGAACACAGACAUCUCGCCAUGGAGUUUGUGCUUGGCUGGGUUUUCCUUGUUGCUGUUUUAAAAGGUGUCCAGUGUGAAGUGCAGCUGGUGGAGUCUGGGGGAGGUCUGGCAAAGCCUGGAGGCUCCCUGAGACUCUCCUGUGAAGCCUCUGGAUUCGAAUUCAGUGGAUAUGGCAUAGCCUGGGUCCGACAGGCUCCCAAGAAGGGGUUACAGUGUGUCUCAAGUACUGAUAGUAGUGGAAGUAGUACAAUCUACACAGACUCCGUGAAGGGCCGAUUCACCAUCUCCAGAGACAACGCCAAGAACACGCUCUAUCUGCAGAUGGACAGCCUGAGAGUCGAGGACACGGCCAUGUAUUUCUGUGCGAGAGACACAGCGCACAGCUCCACGGACAGCCGCGCAGGCAGGGCAGCCUUGAGACCAGAGGCUCACAGUUCUGUGGACAACCGCACAUGCGGGGCGGCUGGCUAUCCAGAGCGCAUGGACCUUCACAGCCAGGUGCGGCACCACCGGGCAAGGCAGGAAAGAGACCAGGGGAAGAGACAUAGAGACUGA